CUCUCGGCCCCUUGGCGUCUCCUCGCACGUUUCCAAAUGGCAGGGCCUGGUGUCCGUGACUGGGAUGCCCACUGUGAGGGCCCGAACUGAAAAUCCCUGACACUGACAUAUGUGAAUCAUGGGCAUCUUGGAAAGGCCUCAAAACGCGGCUGAAACACUGAAAUUUCACCCUUAAUGAGCUGAGGCAAGACUGGUCGAGUUGGAAAGAGAGACUCUUUUCAAUGUGGCUGCUGAAAUGAAAGGAGGAAGUCUGCAGUUUCUAUUGCCUCCUUAUCAUCAUGAGGAAAAAGCCAGAGCAAGAAUGGAGCAAACUGGGAGCGAAGCAGAACCAAUAGAUCACAAGCACAGAACCAAGUCCUGAUGACAUUGUUUGCGCUCCUUGAUCCAGAACUUGAUCUGCACCUAGUGACUCAUUCGUCUUGUGGCUGCCUCUGGAUUCGUGAGUAUGGUGCCUAGAAAGAAAUAACCAACAAAUCAAAGUCUAUUUCAUUGAUGCACAUGUUGGCACCCUUUGAAAGAUCCAGAAAUCCACAUGUUGAACAUGAAUCUAGGGCUGCGGUUGCUGCAAAGUCUUAUGCAGAUCCUGGAAGAUAUCAACUCCUAGGGCUAGUGCAGCAUCUUAUUCACCUUGGCAUCUACCACUGCAUGGAGCACAGCACCUAUCACCUAGUAGCAGAAAUCAGCAAUGCCAGCUUGAGAGCAAACUGAUGAGUUCUACGCGAUGGAGCAAAGAGUCGUUGGCUGGAGUCUUGUAAAUCAACAGAAGAAGACCAGUGACCAAAUAGAUUCGUAUUUAUUUUCCUGGAGUUACCCCCUUCUUUGACUCUCAGCUUUAAAUUUCAGAAGAGAGAGAAGAGGAAGAAGGUGGCAGAGCCUGGUGAGAGGACACUAGAGAACAUGUCCUUGCUUCACAAUUUGGUUGCCAUAUAAACAUGAAUUGAGUAGAGCUUCCUGAGGUUGCACAGAGGGCUAAACUUCUGCUAGGACCAUGGGAAAAGGCUAGAGGGGCCAAUGGCCAAGAGAUGACCACUUCCGUAGAGAAAACACUCUGACCAGGCCCCACUAGGCACAAGAUAAAAGUCCGUGGAAGGAAAGAUGGAUACAGCAAGAAGGUCUAUCCAAGAACUUAGUAAAUAUGUGCUGAACAAAUAAUUCAGAUUUUUAAGUUCUCCAAUCAAAUUCAACAAAAAGUCUUUGACUACCUGCAGAGUGCCCUUUCUCCAGUGCUGUGUGGAGGUUGGAUUUGAAGAGGAGAAAGCUGGGAGCAAGAGACCAGUAGAGCUGUUGCCGUGGUACAGGGCUCCUGGAUCCAAACCCAUUUUGAGGUCUCAGCUUUCUCAAUAAAAAUGUCAAAGCCAGAGGUCUUUCAAAGUAGCUGCUGAGAACACGGAGGCCCUUUCUGCACUGCCAGUCUGACAGGGUCCUGGGUCUCCAUCCCAGACAGCCUUCACGGGGACACACACAAGCAGCUCUCCAAACAGAGAAGCAUCUCAUGCUAUUGCCUUUCCCUGAAACAACACUUCCAGAAAAUAUGCUGACCAAGAAGAAACAGCAGGGGUGAGAGAAGUGGCCAGAGCACUCACAACAUCUUAACAAGCACUAAUUAAAUGUCUUGCUUUUAAAAUACGGCUUAAGAAAGCCAAAUACGGGGCUUCCCUGGUGGCGCAGUGGUUGAGAAUCUGCCUGCCAAUGCAGGGGACAUGGGUUCGAGCCCUGGUCUGGGAAGAUCCCACAUGCCGCGGAGCAACUGGGCCCGUGAGCCACAACUACUGAGCCUGCGCGUCUGGAGCCUGUGCUCCGCAACAAGAGAGGCCGCGAUAGUGAGAGGCCCGCGCACCGCGAUCAAGAGUGGCCCCCACUUGCCGCAACUAGAGAAAGCCCUCGCACAGAAACGAAGACCCAACACAGCCAAAAAAAAUAAAAUAAAUAAUAAUAAAAAAUGAAAACUGACAUGUGCUAUUACAAAGUAGGUGCAGCUGAAGAAAAAUGCUUUAAAAAAAAAAAAAAAAAGAAAGCCAAAUACAAUAACUUCUUACAGAUGGUUUUAGGAACUAACAAGAGCUGUAGGAAAUGGUGUAGUCAUAAGGAUCAGUGUCCCCAAAGUCUCCUACAGCCAUUAGUGACGAGGUGCUGUGCACUUUAGGAAGAAAUGAUGAGACUCUGUUUGAUGUGAAGCUGGUUAUUUUUUUUCCUCAUUUGUCUCUGAAGGGAAUUUUGCAUGUGUUUUAGUGCAUUACACAGUCAAUUAUUGAAACGGCCAGUCAAUUGAAUAUAAAAAGAGCAUUAGCAGCCUUGAAAUCUAUUUUUCUGAUGAGGUACAAAGCCAGGCUGAAAAAGAAUUGUGAAUACCAAGAAGGCAGGAACUGUGUUUUGUCAUAUCGAUAGCCCCAGUUCCAAUACAUAGUGGGCAUUUGAUAACUGUUUGAUCAUUUAUUGAACAAAUAUUCUUUCAGUGGUUAUGCUAUACCAGA